GUGUGUGUGUGCAGUGAGCAGUUCACAGUGUGUGGAUAUUACAGCGACAGGAACAGAGGGAGAACAAGUGCUCAUUACGUGUCCUUAUGCUAAAGGAUAUGAAAAAGCUUACAAAGGCUUUUACAAAGGAAAUUACAAAGAUUAUGAUGUUAUACUAAAAUCUAAUGGAGGAGAGACCUCGGUCAGUGGCAGAAUCUCUCUGCGGGACGAUGGCAAGAUGAGAUCAUUGACAGUGACCAUCAGAAACCUGAAGAUGGAAGAUGCUGGACCGUACAUCUGUCGAGCUGGAUAUGGAUACCUUAAACAAAUCCAUCUAAAUGUGAUCAGAGGUGUGAUGUACAUUAGUAAACAAACAAUAUUUUUAAUUCACUGUGCUUUAUGCUGGGAUCAAUGGUCAUUUUAUUCAUGUAUUUGUUUAGUUUGAAUGGUGUAAUGAUUCUCCUUGUUUUCAGCUCCACAGAGACCAAUACCUGUCCAGAUCUUUACCUCCACCAUUCAUCCAGAUCAAACGAUCAGCUCACUUUCAAACACGCCGCCCCAUUUGAGCACAUCAGACUUGAACCCACAAUCCAGCACCAUCAGGAUCACAGAUCAUCACAUCUCCUCACCAGCUCAGAUCAGCUGCUGCCCUUCCUCUCUCAGUAACUUUCCUUUCAUAUUCUUUAUGUCUGUAUGAUGUCACAUUGAUUUCUUCGGCUGACUGAUAUUUUUGCUUUUACGGACACUCUCUACAUCCCCAAGUGAGUUGGUGGUUCUCGCAUUAUCACAGCUGGACUUUUGCAUCUAUUGGUUCGGAUGUCUACUUGUGUGGGUUUGCUGUGGAUUGAUGUGUCUAUAUUGAACAUAAACAUAUGAUACACGUCCCACGAGCUUCUAUGCCUAAAGCAGAACCAGUAUCUGUUUAAAGAUGCUUAUGACAGUUGUGGUAAUGCUGGUUUGCUGCGGCCCAAGCAGUGCAUUCAUCAGAGUUCAGGAUGCAAUUACAUCCCUUCUUCAUCUUCCCUCAUCCCGGUCCUUAAUUCUCAGUCCUUAAAUGCUGAUGGAAGAACAAAAGACUUUCACUCUUGUGUUGUCUUUAGUAAUUAAUUAUCACAGGCCUGUUCAGGGAGGAAUUCCUGUGCUGCGGUGACUACAAGCCUUUUAAAUGCUGUGUUAUUCAGUGUACACUCUGUUUCUCUCUGAAACUUGGCACAAACGGGACAAUGGUCUCCUAUUUAAUCAGCUGACCCAAGCAGGCAUUGAACUCUUCGAUUUCCCACGGCCUACUACUGAUUUGAACACACAGUUUUUCUAGCAGCCAUGUUGUUUUGCGCCAACCACAUACAAGGGCUGUCUGAAAAGUAUUCAGCCAUGUAAUAUGAAAAAAAUAAACAUUUAUUGAAGAAGAUACA
ensembl:lncRNA